GCAAGAUUAAGCUUUAGUUAAGUUUUUUAUUUACAUUAAAAAGAUCCUUUUUGGAAUCUUG
rnacentral:tRNA from 1 species